UUGGGCAUGCUUUUCAUCCAAAAUUCCGAAUGCUGCCCUACCCUAGAGAUGUUAAACGAUAUAAGAUACUUGUAUGUUCAUAAAUGUUCAAUAUUAUGAUCAUUUAUUUGAAUUAUGCACCCUCCAACUUCACCGGAUGAUGUUGACAGGUGUCCCGCUAGUGGGAGGCCUAGCCUGUAAAGUAGCAGUCUCCAAUCUUUUCUAACAUGAGAGCUACUUUUUCGUGAGCUAUUCAUUUUUCUAUUUUCCUCUCCCCUUCAACUCUUUGCUGCAACUCUUUCCCAGGUCUUUAGUGUACAAGAUAAAGUAGUGCACUGCUUUCUACCAAUAUACCUGGUCAAAUAAUGGUUACUAAACAACUCUGAGGGCGGCCCUAUAAAAUAUAUCAUUUUUUUCUACAAAAUUCAGUUUCAUAGUUUUUGUUUAUCACUCUCAAAAUGAUAAUUGUUCAUAGAGAAACAACCAAAUUGGGUGUUCUUAGUCCAUGUUAAGAUUUAUUUAUCAGUUAAAGGGGAAUUCCACACAUUUUUCUGUUUCUCUUGAGUCCAUAUCAUUAUGUGAGUUACACAGCCAUCCUAAUGUUGAUGUUAAAGGGGAACUUAAUCCUUGUCUGAAAGUUGCAACCUAAAUAUGCAAUAUUGAGUUAUAGGACAGUGGAAACAAACUAUGUAAUAUUAGUGGGUUUGGAGUGUUUUUUUAAUACAUGUUCAUAUUGCAUUCAGUAAAAGGAAAGUGAUGAUUCAGCAAAAGUGACAACCAAUUUUCAGAAAUACAAUGUAAAAAAACUAUUUGGGUAAUCAACUACAAGCUCCUAAAGGGGGGGGAUAUAAAACAGGCAAAAAUGUAUUAAUGCCCCCUUUAACAGACAGUAUAACAACAGAAUUUCCGCUUGGGGAUCAAUAAAAUAUCUAAUGAUUGCUGUUAAACUGUAACUCACAUAGUAAUGAUAAAGUUAGAUGGUUUAACUGUCAGCUUCUCCCUUGGGGUAGUCCCUUUGUAUAUAUUGUGAUAAUCAACCACUUUGUGUGACAGUAUCUUUCCAGAUGACUUCCUCCUUUGCCAGUUCCUUGUUGGAGAUCUUGUCCAUUGAGUAGGAUGAUACUGUCAUUCUGAGCGAUGAUGGAAGCCCUUCAAGAAAACGACCGAGAGCUGAGGAUGAAGCUAAACAUUUAAUCCAAAACAUACUGAAGAAAUCUGGUGGCGAUCUUGUCAUCAAGGAAUACUCUCGAACCAAAGGGCUGACUGAUGGCACCAGACGAAAGAUGAUUAAUAUUCCCACAGCAGAGAUGACAGACUCAUGGGACAUCAACACCACGCCAGUUGAGGGUGACAUGCUCAAGGAAUUGUCACCUUGUUCCCUCACCUCAAGGACCCCAAAAAAACCAAAGGAUAUGAACAUUAUUUUGACCCUCAAACUGGAAAUCAAUACCAUCCAGAGGAAUUCAGAUUAAUCUGAGAAACGACCAUUCAGCCAAUCGUUCAGCGGUGGCUCAACAGCUGAGAGAGGAACUUCAACCCGUCCAGAGAUUACCCUGGGUGAUGAACAGCGCAGGCAGGCCAUUUCCCUAAUGAAGCAUUCUUCUGAUGAAGCCACCAUCAAGCAGAAGAUGAAGAUGACAUUUGCAUACAGACGGAAGAUGACUCAUGACCCAAGUAAAUGCUGCGAGUUGCUGGCUGAAUUUCCACGGUUCAUGGAUAUGAAGGGCCUGACUGAAAAUGAUUUUGUGACUAUUUGGAGAUACCACUUCAGCGAGGUUUUUGGAGUGAUGGCCAACUGCAUUUGAGCAAAAGAUAAUUGAGCAAAGCAAAGGUCUUGCCUCCACAGAUGAACUUCAGGAGUUGAUCCAAGCGGCAGAAUGUCCUGUCAAAAGUAUGGUAGUAUCCACCAAUUCACAGCAAUAGACAAAUCUAAGAGUAAAAUAAUGUAAUAAAGAUAUUACGACAA